rnacentral:ncRNA from 2 species
CGGCGGUCGCGUGACUGGCGCAUUCGCGGAGCACCGCGGGGGAGCGCGACCCGCAUAUCGCCGCGCGCCUGGGCAAUCCUC